CUAACAAACCGUGGCUCUGCAGGCCCGGCCCUUUCAGUUUCAGGGUGCGGCUAAAGCACAAGCAAUAGUGAAGCAGGACGGGUAGCAUGGUGAAAGGCCCCAGAAGACACUGCCAAUAACCAUCCUAAUUUGGGCGCCGCUGUCACAUGGCAACAUCUCUUCAUCCCUCUGAGACUGCUCACACUGUUGAGGGACACAUGACAGUCUUAUCCUGAGCAUUAUCAUCAGGUGACAAGCGACAACGCUGAAGGCGUAUGGCCCCACAGUGGCUAUGUGGCUUACUGUUUCAGUGGGCAGAGCCUCCCUCAUCACACGAGGAACACCAUACCACUCGGGUACAUCAAGAAGAGGGAUGGUAAGAGCCGAAGGGAGAGGAGGUUGCUGUGGAAUGCUGUCCUCUAGGAACGACAGAGUCAUGUCCAACUGGAGCUCACAGCAGCUGUGAUGACUUGUACAGGACCAUCUCAAGAUUAGCACAUCAGCAUCCUAUCUUGAGGUAGGAAGGGACUCGUAAAGCCCCUACCUUUCCCUGAGGGCAACAGGCGGUUAAUAUUGGCUGGCAGAGAGUUCUCUUCCACUGGUAAGGGGUUCAUGCUCCUGUAAACAGCGCUCACCCCCGCUUCUGGAAGCAGCCUCGACUGAAUGCAUUACGUUCCACACAAAAAAGACACAGGAGUAAAAGGGAAAAUAUCCAGAAGAGAAAGAGGAUCAGGAGGAGUAGAGAGCCAAGAGAAGGCAAUGGGGGUGAAUAUGAUUCAUAUAUAUAAUGUUCAUAAUUAUGAAAAUAUCAUAACAAGAUCCGACACUGUGUGGUUUUAAAAAAAAAACUGGUGAGUAAAAUUUGGGCAAAACACCAGUUUUCUGACUCUGAUCCACUCUCUUUCCCUAGUCCCAGAAUACUGAAUUUUUCAAUAAUUAGGGUUCAGAAUAUAUAAAUGGCAAAUAGUUGUUUAGAAAUAGCAUUAAAUUCAGUAAAACAAAGCAAAACACACAUAGAAAUUAGUUACCCAAUCAAACAUAUUUCAUGUUUGGACAAUUUGUGUACUAUAUGCUUAAAGAAUAACUCUCUCACCUCAAAAAGUAAAGGUAGUUCACCAUCUACACCAUCAUUCUUGAGACAACGGGGUUGACUAGACCUCAGAGUUACUGCAUUUGGGGCUAGUUCAUGGAUAAUUUGACACUUCCCCAGAAAAUUCUUCCAUUCUACCCUCCAGCAGGUCAUCUGGUCUCUGGUUUGACUGUUAACCCUUCCCAAGAUCUUUAACGAAGAAACUCUCUCAUUUGAUAACCCAGUGGAAAACUAUUGCCAUGAUAACCCAUGGAAAACACCUGCCACAAGGAAGAUUUGAGCACCCCAAUGUCCCACAAAUGCAGAUUACUAAAAUGAGCCAUGAGCAUCUCCAAUGCUCCCCAAACACAGACUAUUAAAGGAUGCUAUGGGCACUUGGGAAAGGCAAGAUGUCCACCAGGUGACCACCUGGACAGGUGGAAGGAAUCUGGCCUAACAUGUAUCUUUUUUUGUGGAAAAAAAAUAAAAUUUUAAAAGGGA